rnacentral:rRNA from 1 species
UACGUAGGUGGCAAGCGUUGUCCGGAUUUACUGGGCGUAAAGAGCGCGCAGGCGGUCGGAUAAGUCGAGUGUGAAAGCCCCUGGCUCAACCAGGGAGGGUCAUUCGAUACUGUUCGACUCGAAGGCAGGAGAGGGAAGCGGAAUUCCGGGUGUAGUGGUGAAAUGCGUAGAUAUCGGGAAGAACACCCGUGGCGAAGGCGGCUCUCUGGGACGGUACUGACGCUGAGACGCGAAAGCGUGGGGAGCGAACAGG